rnacentral:rRNA from 1 species
UCCUAAAAAGCUAGCCCAACCCCUGAAAAACAACCACCCUUUAAAUCCAACCCCCUAUAAAACACCCAACAAACCAUUUUACCUCCCCAGUACCCGGGCGACAGAAAAG